AAGUGGGAGGAAAGUGGGGUGUGCUGAGUUCGGGUCGGCGCAGGGCAUGCGGCGAGGAAUAGGCGAGGAAUUGAGACGGGCUCGCACGUGUGGGAGCACUCCGGGUUGUGCGGCCACCGACGGUAUCGGUAGGGUCGCCCUGGUGGUCGCACGAUGGAGAUGGGAUGGCUGAAGGCCGGUCUCUACAAGAAAAAAGAAGAAAACAAUAUAAAAGGUGCUCGAGAAAUGUACCUUCACAGUGGAUUACUUCUCAUGCUGCAUCAGAGGACCAGGUUAUUGCACCACCUACACUAUGGGGACUCCUCAAUUAUUCUCAUGACAACCGUUCAUCCAAGGCAGCAUCGACCAAGCAAUUCAAUAGGCUGAGGAGGAAAAGGUGUAAUUACAGCAAGCUCCAGGACAUCAUGUUUGGUUGUUUAUAGCAGAGGGAGUUACUCCAUCUUCUCUGGUUUCUUUCUCUUACGCAAUCAUACCAUUGCGAAAUCAUUCAGCUAAUAAACCUUUGUCCUCACUUUCUUUCAUCGACUUAUCACGGCAGAAUGAUAUAGCUAUUCGACAGAGUGCAUAAAUGACAUCUAUGAGUCCUGCCACUGCCAGGCUUUCAGCAAGUUUGCUGUCCAUCUUACAGAAACAUGGUCUGCGAUGGCAUCUGAAACAGGAGGAUGAAUGCAUCAUCAAUGAAUGAUUGUCCAAAGUUACAGUUUUAACUGCUAUGGUUGUCACCAACGAACAGUUGGUGAGAUUGUGACCUCUUCUUCCGCUGGAGCUCCAAAAGCGACUCGCUGUGGAGAAUGCUGCAGCAGCAGCAGCAGCAGAAGAAACUUGGCACAAGCUUAGACGACAUGGGUCCCAAGAUUUGCCAUGGCAACUUCCAGGCCGUAGUCAUCGGCUUCUUUGACCUUCGACAUACUUGAUGGUGUUGUCUUGCAUUCCCAUGUAAUUUGAGUGGCGUGGUCAGUUGUCCUCUCUCUUUGACCUGGUCAACUGGAGUCAAUGCAGUGACCCGACUCGAUUGGAACUGCAGCCGUGGAGGACACUAACCAAGCAUGUUUAGUUAUCCGUGCACUGU